rnacentral:tRNA from 1 species
UCUAAUAUGGCAGAAUAGUGCAUUGGAUUUAAACCCCAAAUAUAAAGAUAUCUUUUAUUAGAA